GACGAACGCUGGCGGCGUGCUUAACACAUGCAAGUCGAGCGGUAAGGCCCUUCGGGUACACGAGCGGCGAACGGGUGAGUAACACGUGGGUGACCUGCCUCUAGCUCUGGGAUAAGCCUGGGAAACUGGGUCUAAUACCGGAUAUGACUCCACGGCGCAUGUUGUGGGGUGGAAAGCCUUGUGUGGCUAGAGAUGGGCCCGCGGCCUAUCAGCUUGUUGGUGGGGUGAUGGCCUACCAAGGCGACGACGGGUAGCCGGCCUGAGAGGGCGACCGGCCA
rnacentral:rRNA from 1 species